UCGAGUGGGAUAAGCCAUGCGAGUCACAUAGCAAUAUGUGGCAUACGGCUCAGUAACACGUAGUCAACAUGCCCAGGGGACGUGGAUAACCUCGGGAAACUGAGGAUAAACCGCGAUAGGCCAUCACUUCUGGAAUGGGUAAUGACUUAAAUCUAUAUGGCCCCUGGAUUGGACUGCGGCCGAUCAGGCUGUUGGUGAGGUAAUGGCCCACCAAACCUGUAACCGGUACGGGCUCUGAGAGGAGGAGCCCGGAGAUGGGCACUGAGACAAGGGCCCAGGCCCUAUGGGGCGCAGCAGGCGCGAAACCUCUGCAAUAGGCGAAAGCUUGACAGGGUUACUCUGAGUGAUUUCCGUUAAGGAGAUCUUUUGGCACCUCUAAAAAUGGUGCAGAAUAAGGGGUGGGCAAGUCUGGUGUCAGCCGCCGCGGUAAUACCAGCACCCCGAGUGGUCGGGACGUUUAUUGGGCCUAAAGCAUCCGUAGCCGGUUCUACAAGUCUUCCGUUAAAUCCACCUGCUUAACAGAUGGGCUGCGGAAGAUACUAUAGAGCUAGGAGGCGGGAGAGGCAAGCGGUACUCGAUGGGUAGGGGUAAAAUCCGUUGAUCCAUUGAAGACCACCAGUGGCGAAGGCGGCUUGCCAGAACGCGCUCGACGGUGAGGGAUGAAAGCUGGGGGAGCAAACCGGAUUAGAUACCCGGGUAGUCCCAGCUGUAAACGAUGCAGACUCGGUAAUGAGUUGGCUUUAUGCCAACUCAGUGCCGCAGGGAAGCCGUUAAGUUUGCCGCCUGGGGAGUACGGUCGCAAGACUGAAACUUAAAGGAAUUGGCGGGGGAGCACCACAAGGGGUGAAGCCUGCGGUU
rnacentral:rRNA from 1 species